rnacentral:rRNA from 1 species
CCAUAUGCUUGUCUCAAAGAUUAAGCCAUGCAGGUCUCAGUACGGCCUCUAGCGAAAAGGCGAAACCGCGAAUGGCUCAUUAAAUCAGUUAUGGUUCCUUAGAGCUUACGUUGUCUUACUUGGAUAACCGUGGUAAUUCUAGAGCUAAUACAUGCACUUAUGCUCCGACCCUCGGGAACGAGCGCUUUUAUUAGACCGCAACGACCGUAUCCGCUGUGGCUCGUGGGUCUCUCGGGGCCCCUUGUCGCGGACGUGUUUGCGUGGUGACUCUGGAUAACUCUUGCCGAUCGGCCGGCGAUCCCCGAGAGGGGGUCCAGUCCGGCCGACGCACCUUUCAAGUGUCUGCCUUAUCAACUGUCGACGGUAGGUUAAAUGCCUACCGUGGUAGUAACGGGUGACGGGGAAUCAGGGUUCGAUUCCGGAGAGGAAGCCUGAGAAACGGCUACCACAUCCAAGGAAGGCAGCAGGCUCGCAAAUUACCCACUCCCGGCACGGGGAGGUAGUGACGAAAAAUAACGAUGCGGGACUCGGUCGAGACCCCGCCAUCGGAAUGAGUACACUCUAAAUCCUUUAACGAGGAUCCACCGGAGGGCAAGUCUGGUGCCAGCAGCUGCGGUAAUUCCAGCUCCGGUAGCAUAUGCUAAAGUUGCUGCGGUUAAAAAGCUCGUAGUUGGAUCUCAGUCUCGGCCGCUCGGUCUCGCCCGUGUUGGCGGGUCUCGAUGCGGCCGGUCAGAAUGUCGGCCGCCCGGGAUGAUCUUGACCGGUUGUCUCGGAACGGCCGGCGAGUUUACUUUGAAAAAAUCAGAGUGCUCAGAGCGGGCGUUAUCCGCCCGAACGCCCGUGCAUGGAAUAAUGGAAGAGGACCUCGGUUCAAGUUCUGUUGGUCCACGAACCCUGAGGUAAUGAUUAAGAGGAACGGCCGGGGGCGAUCGUACCGCGACGCUAGAGGUGAAAUUCUUGGACCGUCGCGUGACGCACCACAGCGAAAGCAUUCGUCAAGAACGCUUCCGUUAAUCAAGAACGAAAGUCAGAGGUUCGAAGGCGAUCAGAUACCGCCCUAGUUCUGACCAUAAACGAUGCCGACCAGCGAUCGGGCUGCGCUCGCCACGACGAGGCGCCCGGAAGCUUUCCGGGAAACCAGAGUCUCUGGGUUCCGGGGGAAGUAUGGUUGCAAAGCUGAAACUUAAAGGAAUUGACGGAAGGGCACCACCAGGAAUGGAGCCUGCGGCUUAAUUUGACUCAACACGGGAAAGCCUAUCUGGUCCGAACACGGGAAGGAUUGACAGACUGAUUGCUCUUUCUUGAUUCUGUGGGUGGUGGUGCAUGGCCGUUCUUAGUUGGUGGAGUGAUUUGUCUGGUUGAUUCCGAUAACGAACGAGACUCUAGCCUGCUAAAUAGCGAGGUUUUGUGAAGCGGGGUUGGUCUCUCGUAGCGGGCUGCCGUCGUUUCGCUUUCCUGUCGGGCGUCUGGCCGUUUCGGCGGUCGUUCGUCUCGGUCGGUUGCGUGCGGCGGUCGGUUCCGUGAAGGGUGGAUCGACUUCGUAAACCUCCGAUAUCUCUUCUUAGAGGGACAAGCGACGCAUUAAAGUCGCGCGAGGAAGAGCGAUAACAGGUCUGUGAUGCCCUUAGAUGUCCAGAGCCGCACGCGCGCUACACUGACGCCCACAGCGUGCGCGCUCUCCCGGUCCGACAGGAUCGGGGAACCCCUUCAACGGACGUCGUGAUGGGGACAGGGGAUUGUAAUUGUUCCCCUCGAACGAGGAAUUCCCAGUAAGCGCGAGUCACUAGCUCGCGUUGAUUACGUCCCUGCCCUUUGUACACACCGCCCGUCGCUACUAUCGAUUGAACGGUUCGGUGAGGUCCUCGGACUGGCUUACGCUGGAGGGACCCUGUCUCCGGUCGUCGUUUCGGCGGCGUCGGAGUUAUUCCCGAUGCGGUAGCUGGAAAGUCGAUCGAACCGUAUCGUUUAGAGAAAGUAAAAGUCGUAACAAGGUUUCC